rnacentral:snRNA from 1 species
UAUCGUACCUGGCAGAGGAGAUACCUUGAUCAUGAAGGACAUUUUUCCUGGGUGAGGCUCAUCCAUUGCACUCGAGGUGUGCUGAUCCCUGCAGGAAAGUUGACUUUAUAAUUUUCUC